rnacentral:rRNA from 1 species
GAUGAACGCUGGCGGCGUGCCUAAUACAUGCCAGUCGAGCGAACGGACGAGAAGCUUGCUUCUCUGAUGUUAGCGGCGGACGGGUGAGUAACACGUGGAUAACCUACCUAUAAGACUGGGAUAACUUCGGGAAACCGGGGCUAAUACCGGAUAAUAUUUUGAACCGCAUGGUUCAAAAGUGAAAGACGGUCUUGCUGUCACUUAUAGAUGGAUCCGCGCUGCAUUAGCUAGUUGGUAAGGUAACGGCUUACCAAGGCAACGAUGCAUAGCCGACCUGAGAGGGUGAUCGGCCACACUGGAACUGAGACACGGUCCAGACUCCUACGGGAGGCAGCAGUAGGGAAUCUUCCGCAAUGGGCGAAAGCCUGACGGAGCAACGCCGCGUGAGUGAUGAAGGUCUUCGGAUCGUAAAACUCUGUUAUUAGGGAAGAACAUAUGUGUAAGUAACUGUGCACAUCUUGACGGUACCUAAUCAGAAAGCCACGGCUAACUACGUG